UGGCUUAGAUGGUAAAGAAUCUGCCUGCAGUGCAGGAGACCCAGGUUUAAUCCCUGG
rnacentral:tRNA from 1 species